UUGAAUAAACCUGAUGUGGUUGUGCUGGCUCUCUCGAGAGUAUGUGCACGCUCAUCAUCUUUAUAUUUCCACCUGUGCACCUUUUGUAGACCCAGGCGACUUGAGCAAUCAAGUCAAUUGAGUCUAUGUCUUAUCAUAUACCCCAAAAGCAUGUCUUUGAAUGUAUCAAUGGGCUUUGAUGCCUAUAAACAUUAUA
rnacentral:misc_RNA from 1 species